UACGUAGGGUGCGAGCGUUAAUCGGAAUUACUGGGCGUAAAGCGUGCGCAGGCGGUUUUGUAAGCCAGAUGUGAAAGCCCCGGGCUUAACCUGGGAAUGGCAUUUGGGACUGCAAGGCUGGAGUGUGGCAGAGGAGACUGGAAUUCCUGGUGUAGCAGUGAAAUGCGCAGAUAUCAGGAGGAACACCAAUGGCGAAGGCAGCUCACUGGGACGGUAUUGACGCUGAGACGCGAAAGCGUGGGGAGCAAACAGG
rnacentral:rRNA from 1 species